GCCAGGUGUAGUGGCUCACACCUGUAAUCCCAGCCCUGUGGGAGGCUGAGGUGGGAGGAUCACUUGAGCCCAGGAGUUCAAGAUCAGCCUGGGCAAUAUAGUGAGACCCUGUCUCUA
rnacentral:SRP_RNA from 1 species